rnacentral:rRNA from 1 species
AUUGAACGCUGGCGGCAGGCCUAACACAUGCAAGUCGAACGGUAACAGAAAGAAGCUUGCUUCUUUGCUGACGAGUGGCGGACGGGUGAGUAAUGUCUGGGAAACUGCCUGAUGGAGGGGGAUAACUACUGGAAACGGUAGCUAAUACCGCAUAACGUCGCAAGACCAAAGAGGGGGACCUUCGGGCCUCUUGCCAUCGGAUGUGCCCAGAUGGGAUUAGCUAGUAGGUGGGGUAACGGCUCACCUAGGCGACGAUCCCUAGCUGGUCUGAGAGGAUGACCAGCCACACUGGAACUGAGACACGGUCCAGACUCCUACGGGAGGCAGCAGUGGGGAAUAUUGCACAAUGGGCGCAAGCCUGAUGCAGCCAUGCCGCGUGUAUGAAGAAGGCCUUCGGGUUGUAAAGUACUUUCAGCGGGGAGGAAGGGAGUAAAGUUAAUACCUUUGCUCAUUGACGUUACCCGCAGAAGAAGCACCGGCUAACUCCGUG